AAUAGAUACCCCGGUAGUCCACGCUGUAAACGUUGGACACUAGGUGUGGCGGUCUGAUCAACGACUGCCGUGCCGAAGCUAACGCAUUAAGUGUCCCGCCUGGGGAGUACGGCCGCAAGGCUAAAACUCAAAGGAAUUGACGGGUCCCCGCACAAGCGGCGGAGCAUGCGGCUUAAUUCGAUGCAACCCGAAGAACCUUACCUGGGUUUGACAUCAUGGGAAAAGCCGUGGAAACACGGUGUCCGUAAGGGCCCAUGACAGGUGGUGCAUGGCUGUCGUCAGCUCGUGUCGUGAGAUGUUGGGUUAAGUCCCGCAACGAGCGCAACCCUUGUCCUAUGUUGCCAGCGGUUCGGCCGGGGACUCAUAGGAGACUGCCGGGGAUAACUCGGAGGAAGGUGAGGACGAUGUCAAGUCAUCAUGCCCCUUAUAUCCAGGGCUGCACGCAUGCUACAAUGGUCGGUACAACGGGCAGCGAUCCUGCGAAGGUGAGCGAAUCCCACAAAGCCGGCCUCAGUUCGGA
rnacentral:rRNA from 1 species